rnacentral:lncRNA from 1 species
GAGCCAUCUCUGAUCCUUGGCAAGCUGAGGCCUGCUUUCUGUUCACACAGUGGGCCUUCCUGGGAUGUCACAGAAACUCAGUCGCUUGCACAUUCUAUGGCUGUGGAUUCUCACUCUCUUACCUCCUGAGAAUCACAUCUACUACAGGAGAUUGCUGCCUGUGCUGACUAAAUGUGCCAAAGCAUGUUUAUCCACACACGGGGGUAAGGACAUCUGGGUGGUGUCUACAUUUUUGGCAGCUACGAACAGAGAAGCUCCAAGCACCCAUAUUCAGGUUUAUGUGUGAGUCUACAUCUUCCUUUGUGCACACAUUUAGGAGCGGCUCCCACCCCUAACUAUGUGACUGUUGGCCCGUAAUAAGUGAAUGUUUGGUUUCAUGUUUCAAGAAAAACACGUCGCCAAGCUAUUUUCCAAAGUCAUUGUCCUGUUUUGUGUCCGCAACAGCAGUGUGUGAGAGUUCCAGCCUCUCUGGAAAUACUCGCCAACGCUUGGCAUUGUCUUUUCGAGAGUGUUUAGCCAUUUUAGUCUGCGUCGAGCUGAAUCUCACUGUUGCUUUUUCUUGCAUAAUAUUGAGCAUAUUUUUAUUGAACUGGUAAGUUUUUAACCCUGUCUCAACUGUAUAGAGCCAGGUCUCCGGUGCUCUCCAGGGGACGUGUGCCAUGCCUAGAGGCUUCUUGGUGUCUCAGUUGGGUGUGUUCUUCUACUAGCUUCUAGGGGUCGGAGGUCAUGGAUGGUUCUAUCCACCUCAUAGAGUGAAGAACAGACCUGCCCCACCCCCGAAAUGGAAUUACCUGCCUCAACACCUCUACGAUACUUACUCAUCAAGGUGCUAGAGUGUUAUCAGAAAAAUUGAAAGCAGAGGCCAGCGUGACGGUCGCAGAGGCUCCGUGUGAUAUAUACCAUUUGUGUGGAAUAAAGAAAGUGGGCCUAGGUUCCGACUCAGCCCUGAGAACACACACGCAAGUAACACUAUACAGGUGGGCAUAGCUACAGGUGGAUAAACACAGAACACUGCGUGCAGCAAGGCUCGAAGAACAGUAGUGCAGGUCUGUUCUCUGCUCACUCACUGGAUCAGUGAAGAAAUCAAGGCAGAAAGGCGAGAGCCAGUAAAGGCGGAUGCAGAGCUCUGGAGUGACCGAGACCCACACAGGAUGCAUCAGCAAGGGUGUGGCCCUGCUUACCUAGGGUCCAAUUGACUCAUCCAGACUAUCUUGCUUGCCCCUCUGUGAGCUGAGCCUCGCUGGCUGAGUUCUCACACCUCUCAUGAUUGUCACUGGGUGGAACCUGCUACAUAGCAUCACGGUCAGGCCAGUGCUUCUUUAAUUAGCAUUUCAAGUUCACUGAGGUAUGGCUCAUGGGACUGCUCAUCUCCUCCCCACCACAGCCACAGUUCUGGCAGCCCUGGUCACCAGAAGGUGGCCAGGUGAGAUUACCUUUGCCAUUCUGUGGCCAGCUGCAAACCAGCGACCUGGAGAGAAGUCGCCUAUCCACAAGCAGCCCUGGGGAUCCGUCUCUCCAUGCAAAGCAUUUCAAGGCACAGAGGGAACUGUCAUGGUGAGAAUUCUGCUGAGAAUUCUGCCAUAACUCAGGGUGAAACUUCUUUACAAGGAGCAACUUAGAAGGAUGGGGAGGGCAGUGUUGAUCAACUCCACAGUGUGUGUGUGUGUGUGUGUGUGUGUGUGUGUGUGUGUGUGUGUGUGAGAGAGAGAGACAGAGACAGAGACAGAGAGAGACAGAGACAGAGACAGAGAGAUGAGACAGAGAGAGACAGAGAGACAGGGAGAGAGAGACAGAGACAGAGAGAUGAGACAGACAGAGACAGAGAGACAGAGAGAGAGACAGAGAGAGACAGAGACAGAGAGAUGAGACAGAGAGAGACAGAGACAGAGAGAUGAGACAGAGAGAGAGAGAGAGAGAGAGAGAGAGAGAGAGAGAACACAACGGAAGUUCGCCUCCUGUCCUCAAGCUCGUAAUCAAUGUUGAACGCUGUGCAGGACAUACUGCAGGAAUUCUCAGUGAUUCACGGCUUAACUACUCUCAUGGAAGAACAUGGAUGGAGAGAAGCACUCUGUGUGUUUCGGUCGCUGCCGUGGUAUUUUUAGCACUGGUUUCAGUGUUAUGGUUUUUGAUUACUCAGUAAGACAGGAAAUUAAUUUGACUCAAGAUGAAGCUGUCACACCAAGGUCGAGAGCUUUGUGCCUUCCUUCCUUCCUUCCUGACAUUUUGACAUAAGCCUCUGAGAAAUCAAUAGUAAAGUUGAGCUACAGUGACCAGAACCACCAUCUUCCUACCCUCUUCUGAGUUCCGUCCGACCGACCUCACAUUGAAGUCCUCUUUCUAAAAUAUUCUUUGGGCAAGAGAGGCAGCCCACUGGGUCAGAGGGGUUGCUCUGCAAGCAUGAAGGUCUGAGUCUGUGUGUCCAGAUCACACAUCAAACCCCAAGCAUGGCUUCGUACGCCUGUAAACCCAGCAGUGCCUGGGCAGAGAGAGACUUGCAGUUCUGGAUAACUUGUUCUCCCAUCAUCCAGCCAAAAGGAUGAGAGCUUGCUUCCAGCUGCCAAUUAAGUGAGAGAUCCCGUAUCAGGAAAAAGAGAUGAAAAACAGAGGAAGGCACAUAGCAUCCUGUUCUGAUCUCCAUAGUAACAUGUAACACACACACACAUGUACACAUACACACUCCUUCCUCACAUACACCACACACGCACACACAUACAUACACCACACAUACCACACACACACUACACCACACACACAUGUACAUACACACUCCUCACACACACCACAUGUACACAUACAUACUCCUCACAUACACACCACACAUGCACACACAUACAUACACCACACAUACCACACACACACCACACCACACACACAUAUACAUACACACUCCUCACACACACCACAUGUACACAUACAUACUCCUCACAUACACACCACACACGAACACACAUACAUACACCACACAUACCACACACACACACUACACCACACACACAUGUACACAUAUACACUCCUCACACACACCAUGCACACACAUACACACACACUCCACACACACACCACACAUGUACGCACACACACACACUCCUCACACAGCUUUUUUUUUGCUCAGAAAUCUGCAUAUCUUGGAGAGUCGGCCUUGUAAAAGAGGUAUACCUCUCAGGUAUAUCAUUCUGUCCCUUUACUUAUAAACGUAUAAAGGGUCCUGAGAAGAUGGUUUAUUAGCCAACAAGUAAUACAAACAGUAGCUUCAAUCUCAGAUCUGGUGGGUGACUUAUUUCUGAUUUGUCUGUCUUGGUUCCUCUGAUAAACUCUCAGCACAAUUUGACCCCCACCCCUGCAGACCACUGUUCUCCAAAUUCCACGUUGGUUCUACACAGAGAUCUUUCUGGCUCCACGUGUUUGCUGUAUCCUGGUUCUCCACUACUGAAGUUUAGAGAGAAGCAGAUGGCAUAACCCAGGGAAGAUCAGAUAGAAGACAUUUCAGGGAAAGGCAGUGGCGUUUGUUUUAUUUUGUUGAUGUGGGGGGAGGGGAGUAGUGUUUUGUCCAUGUACGUGUGAAGGCGCUCACACACAAUUGUGUAAGCCAGAGAUCUGCCUCAGGUGUCUUCUUCAAACACUCUUUUAUUUUUGCACUCAGGCUCUCUUACUGAAGCUGGGCAUUACUGACCCACCUAGACUGCUGGUCAAAAGCUCCUUGAGGACCUUUACGUCCCCAGCUCGGAGUCUUCAGGUGGGAGCUAUUACCUCUUCAAAGUGAUGUGUCCCCUGUUUGAAUAGCUUGUAUGCAAGCAAAAGAUUCUGCUGUAAUCUAGCUCUGCCAGGUCUCCACUCCAGAUGAUGGAGCUAGAGAUGAUGGAGUUGGAGAUGACGGUCUGCUGCUCAUGCUGGAGUGCUCCCAGAUGAUGGAGCUGGAGAUGACGAUCUGCUGCUUAUGCUGAAGUGUUGGAGGAGUCUCAGUGCAUUUGUGCUCCCCAAUUUCCUUGGCCCUUGCUACUCCACAUGCUCUUAUCUCUCUAGCUCUGCUUCCCAGAUUUAAUGGAUUUAGAUAAGGGACUAUCGUUAAAUAUUAUUUGAGAUUGUCCUAGAAAGUUUGAGUACUAAAAGCUUGGAUUCUGUUAUGAUUCUGAGAGAUGGCAAACCCUUUAAGAGGGAGGCCUGGUGUGAGGUGAUUUCAUCAUUGGGGAUGCUGUCCUCUCAUGACCUCAGUUAUCUCUCCCAAGAGCAAACUGGUGUGAAUUCCUCUGGCUUCUCACAGAUGCUCCUAUUGUCACUUGCCACAUGGGAUGUGGACCAAAGAACCUCCCCAGAGCCAAGCACCAGACCUGUGCAUUUGUAGAACAGUGAGUUAAUUUUGAACAGCUAUAUGGUGAACUGAAUGAGUCUCCAAGCCAUGAUCUCACUACUAAAGGCACAUGCUUAACUGUAGGCACUGGCACAGGGAGAGGAAUUCAUUUGUUCCUGAAUCAUAGAAGGGUGAGGUCAAGUGAAGGAACAAGAAAGAUGACGUCUCAGGUGGAGGACACCUACCUACCACUCAGCACUGUCAGCCGAGUUCACGACCUUCACAGCUUCAGUGCAGGCAGAUAACUAACUCUUCCUGGUCUCUGAAGUGAAAACUUUAAGGUUCUUUGGAAAGUCAGCUGUGUUGGAUGGACAAAUGCAUGAAGGAGUAUUUUCCUGAAGUCCACACAAGUGAAAGACUAAGGCAGACUUGUGAAGGAAUGUUUCACUGAAGCAGACACAAGAGAGAGGAUGUUCUGCUAAAGAAAAGAUGUGAAAGGAAGAAGAACAAAGACCAAAAUAUGGACACUUUGCCCCUUCUUAGAAUUGGGAACAAUCACCCAUGGAAGGAGUUACAGAGACAAAGUUUGGAGCUGAGACAAAAGGAUGGACCAUCUAGAGACUGCCUUAUCUAGAGAUCUACCCCAUAAUCAGCUUCCAAACGCUGACACCAUUGCAUACACUAGCAAAAGUUUGCUGAAAGGACCCUGAUAUAACUGUCUCUUGUGAGACUAGGCCGGGGCCUGGCAAAUACAGAAGUGGAUGCUCACAGUCAGCUAUUGGAUGGAUCA